AUGAAAGGAGAGAUCAACAAGUCAGACCUGAUGAAAAACCUUUCUGGUAUCUUCUGCAAAAACAAACAAUGGACGUGGCAAAUCAGGCCACUGUCAGAUAAGAAGUUCCUGGUUAGAUUCCCCCCCUGGAAAGAUGUUGAUGAGUUGAUUGAGUUCCCUGCUUUUGAUCUACCCAUUGAUGGUGUCUCUGUGUCUGUGAAAAAAUGGACUGGCUCAAUCGACCCAUUCAGUGAACUUACUGAAGCCUGGGUGAUUGUUGAGGGGAUGUCCUCUAAAUGGUGUACAUGGAAAGUGCUAUCCCAAAUAGCCUCAUGCUUUGGAAUUCUUGUAGAUGUCGACUGGAAUGGCCUGAUGAAGAGCUUCUAUGAGAAAGUGAGGAUCAAAAUUGCCUGCAGAGACCCAACAAAAAUCCCCUUUGAAAGAAUUAUGGAGAUGAGGAAAAAACUGUAUAUCCUAUCCUUUACUGUGGAGGGCUUUGACCAGGUGGGUGCUGAUGACCCCAAUGAUGAUGAUGGCCCCACUGAUAUAACAAUAGAUGAGGACAACAAGACAACAGAGGAGGAGGAACUGGAUACAGACUUGCUGGAUGAUGGAGAGGAACCCAUUGAUGCUCUAGACCUUGCCAACAGAGCCCCCACAAAAACUCCAACUGGGAAGAAAACAGUUAAUGAUGGUGCCUCAUUUCAUCCCCAUGCUCUACUGGAGGCAUGCUUCUCUCCUGUGAGAGUCAACAGGAAACCUGACCAAGAUGAUAUGGGCCCAAGCAGAUCCUCAAUACCUUUUGCUGAGGCAAUCAAAUAUCUCAGCACCCCACUCAACAGACCUGAUGAAAACACCAUGGUUACUACAUCACCAAGUGGGAUUGCUGCUACCACUUCCCCUGUGUCUGCCCAAAAGAUGUAUUGCUCUGGUCUGCUGAAAGAACUGGAAGAUUCUUCUUCUGACACUGACAGUGAAUCUGUUGAACCUGAGGAGGAAAUGAUUACUGUUGAGGCACACAUAGCUAGUGGCCUGAAGAUGAUGGAGCUCAUGGAUAAAACUAAAGGGAAGGCUACACCAAAAACCAAGUGGGGACCAGUGAUUGCUCCAAGGCUGAGUUCCAGAGUCCACAAUAGGCAAAACAUCAUGGAAAAAGUUGUAGCCUACAAAAUGAAGAAAAACCUGGAGAUCCCACCUACCUUUAAAAGGUGUACAGUGGACAAGCACGCGUGCAAUCUUGGCAAGGAUCAGCUCGUCGCUGCAUCAAUGGAAGGUGCUAUGUGUGGGCGACCAAUCGGUGCUGCUGAGAAGAUGCAUCCAACUCCUAGAUCGGCGAAGAGGCGAGCUGCUCGGGAUUGCAUGGGAGUCAGCCUGAGAGCUUGCAAGAGAAAGAUCGAAGAGGAGAUGCUGAAGAUUCACCCAGAGUGA
rnacentral:rRNA from 1 species